ACAAAAAAGCUUAGGCCUCCGGCUGCCUCAAAAGGGCGAAGGAGAAACCUAAACAUUUGUGUGCACCAUAUCUGUCUUUGGCAGUUCGAGUGUCCCGGUUGGCGUAACUGCCCCGGGUACCUACCCUUGGCUUGCCUUGGGUUGGGCUGCCGACUUUUUUAACAACAUAUUUUCUGUUUUGAUUGUCUGAAUUUUGAUUUGAUCUUUAUUGAUUGAAUUUUAAA
rnacentral:misc_RNA from 1 species